AGCUUUGUGCAGUGGCAGUACUGUAGCCAAUGAGGUUUAUCCGAGGCACGAUUAUUGCUAAUUGAAAACUUUUCCCUAUAAUGAUUAGUACUAACAUGUUUUAAAGGAAAUACAUCCAAGGAUUUCUGUAGAAAGGUGUUCC